rnacentral:piRNA from 1 species
UAGAAAUGAGAGGACAUGUUUGAGG